rnacentral:rRNA from 1 species
GAUGAACGCUGGCGGCGUGCUUAACACAUGCAAGUCGAACGGUGAAGCAGAGCUUGCUCUGUGGAUCAGUGGCGAACGGGUGAGUAACACGUGAGCAACCUGCCCCGGACUCUGGGAUAAGCGCUGGAAGCGGCGUCUAAUACCGGAUAUGAGCUGCGAUCGCAUGGUCAGCAGUUGGAAAGAUUUUUCGGUCUGGGAUGGGCUCACGGCCUAUCAGCUUGUUGGUGAGGUAAUGGCUCACCAAGGCGUCGACGGGUAGCCGGCCUGGGAGGGUGACCGGCCACACUGGGACUGAGACACGGCCCAGACUCCUACGGGAGGCAGCAGUGGGGAAUAUUGCACAAUGGGCGGAAGCCUGAUGCAGCAACGCCGCGUGAGGGAUGGCGGCCUUCGGGUUGUAAACCUCUUUUAGCAGGGAAGAAGCGAAAGUGACGGUACCUGCAGAAAAAGCACCGGCUAACUACGUGCCAGCCGCCGCCGUAACAC